rnacentral:rRNA from 1 species
GACGAACGCUGGCGGCGUGCUUAACACAUGCAAGUCGAACGAUGAACUCCAGCUUGCUGGGGGGAUUAGUGGCGAACGGGUGAGUAACACGUGAGUAACCUGCCCUUGACUCUGGGAUAAGCACUGGAAACGGUGUCUAAUACCGGAUACGAACUUCCGCCGCAUGGUGAGGAGUUGGAAAGAAUUUCGGUCAAGGAUGGACUCGCGGCCUAUCAGCUAGUUGGUGAGGUAAUGGCUCACCAAGGCGACGACGGGUAGCCGGCCUGAGAGGGGGACCGGCCAAACUGGGACUGAGACACGGCCCAGACUCCUACGGGAGGCAGCAGUGGGGAAUAUUGCACAAUGGGCGAAAGCCUGAUGCAGCGACGCCGCGUGUGGGAUGACGGCCUUCGGGUUGUAAACCACUGUCGGGAGGGACGAACACAAUGACGGAACCUCCAAAGGAAGCACCGGCUAACUCUGUGCCAGCAGCCGCAGUAAUAC